rnacentral:rRNA from 1 species
AGAGUUUGAUGCUGGGUCAGAAGGAACGCUAGUUAUAUGCAUAACACAUGCAAGUUGAACGUUGUUUUCGGGGAGCUGGGCACAAGGAAAAUAGGCUCCUAUCUAAAGGUAGAUUGGCUCGCCCAGAAGGUGAGAAGAGUUGAGAAGAAAGUGGCGAAAGGGUGCGUAACGCGUGGGAAUCUGCCGAACAGUUCGGGCCAAAUCCUGAAGAAAGCUAAAAAGCGCUGUUUGAUGAGCCUGCGUAGUAUUAGGUAGUUGGUCAGGUAAAGGCUCACCAAGCCAAUGAUGCUUCGCUGGUCUUUUUGGAUGAUCAGCCACACUGGGAUUGAGACACGAUCUUGAUGCCCACGGGGGGCAGCAGUGGGGAAUCUUUGACGAUGGGCGAAAGACCGACCAAGCAAUAUCGCAUGAGUGAAGAAGGGAAAUGCCUCUUUUAAAGAUAUUUCGUCGAGUGCGCGAUAAUGACAGUACUCGAGGAAUAAGCCCCGGCUAACUCCAUGCCAGCAGUCGCAAUAAGACGAAGGGCAAGUAUUCUUCGGAAUGAUUGGGCGUAAAGGCCACGUAGGCGGUGAAUCUGUGCUGCAUGGAUAUAGUCAGCUCGUGCCGUGAGAUGUUUGGUAAAGUACUAUAACGAGUGAAACCCUCAUUUUGUGUUGCUGAGACAUGUGCCUAAGGAGAAAGUCUUUGCAACCAAAGUAAGCCGAGGAGACGAGUGACGUGCCAGCUACAAAUAUAGUGCCAGCACCUAGCUGUGCUGUCAGUAAGAAGGUAGCCGGCGCCUUUCGAAGCACUUUCUAUUUCUAGUUAGCGCUAUUUUUUGAUUUCAGGUAGCGCGCUUGACUAAUAAGAUAGAAAGGGCCUUUCUCACUUGUUUAGUAAAGUCAAGUUUUUUGGCCUUAUCUUUCAGGUGACGACGAUGUCGUGUUGACGGCAGAGAAAGACUCGGCAUUCAGGCGAGCCACCCGGUGGUGUGGUACGUAGUGGGUUUAGUACGCCCCUCCCAAACAAAUGGAUUUGAAACAAACAAAAAGGUGUGUGUCGCACUCACGAAGGGCUGCCAGUGAUAUAGUGGAGGAUGGUGGGAAUGAUGUCAAGUCCGCAUGGACCUUAUGGGUUGGGCCACACACGUGCUACAWUGGCAAUUACAAUGGGAAGCAAGGCUAUAAGGCAGAGCGAAUCCGGAAAGAUUGAUUUAGUUAGGAUUGUUCUCUACAACUCGGGAACAUGAAGUUUGAGUCGCUAGUAAUUGCGGAUCAGCAUGCCGCGGUGAAUAUGUACCCUGCCCUUGUACACACCGCCUAUCACACCCUGGGAAUUGGUUUCGCAUGAAGCAUCGGACAAAUGAUCACCCAUGAAUUCUGUGGCAGACUAGUGCCACAAAGUCCUUUAGUAGUAUUAUUGGAACAUACCACGGUGGGGUCUUCGACUGGGGUGAAGUCGUAACAAGGUAUCCGUAGGGGAGCCUAUGGCUG